rnacentral:lncRNA from 1 species
GCAUUUUAGGUGGGUUACAUCGGUUCGACUCCUAAGUUCAUAAUCGUCGACAUGUAUAGAUCUCUAUUUUGGUAAUCUAGUUUGGCUCAAAUUCUUGAAUGAUUCUAGAUUGGUAAAAUCUGAAUUCUCGAGCAUGUUUUAUAAUUUAAAUAGAUUAUACAUGUUGGACUUGGAAAUUGAAUUAGGAGAAAACCUGCGAUUUGGACCUGUCACUGUUACUACCUGAUUUAGCUCCAGGAGCCGUUAGAAAAUUGUACUGUCGCAGUUUCUUCGAGACGAGUACUCCAGGUAGUUUAGAAUGUAUUUACACUCGUGCUGGUUCGCCGAGUGGAUUUUUACAGGGUCGUUCAGGUCGUUUCGGACUGUUGGGUGCCGUCAGAGUUGACGGUGGACCCGUAUCGCCUUUUUGGCGUCAGAUUGUGCCGAGGGCACGUUACCUGUUGGUUGUUAGACCAGUUUGAGUCGAUUACUUGACUUUGGCUAGUUGGAGCCUGAUUGAGCUCGACAGAGAUACGCUGCAUACUCGGUUGGGUAGCGCCCACGAGUGCCACUCCGGAGUCAGGCUUGUGCUUUUGCGUUGGUGUCGCUCAUGCCAGUUGGACUUGCUCUCCACGGACCAGUUAGUGUGGAUAGAGCCUGAUAGUCGCAACGGGGCAGGGACGGGUGUAUUCACAGUCCCGGGGACGGGUAUGCUUACAGUCCCGAUUGGAUUGGGUCAGAUUUGACAUUUCCUACAGUUGGUUAGUGUAGAGCAUGAUAGUGUAGUGGAUGAUAGCGGUAGAGUAUGCUUCCUGCUUUCCUUCUAUCCUUGCUCCCUUCUGUAGACUUAGUGGGUGACCGAUGUUGUUUUGGGCGGUACCCACUGAGGACUACUUGUUUUUACAGUAGUUCUCACGCCCAGUUGUUACCUAUGUUUUGCAGAGCCACAGGUUCCGGCUGCUGCACCGUCUGCGGACCAGGAUCGAGGCAAGGGCGUCGCGAGUUAGAGCCCUACCCGACGUGCUGAGCUAGAGGUGCCCUACUGCAGGUAGAUGUUUUGUUUCGAGUUUAUGUACAUAGUUGACUUAACUCGCCAGUGCGAGUAGCUCUGUAUUUUGGAUCUGAUCUAUG